rnacentral:rRNA from 1 species
UACGAACUGUGCGAACGUUAUUCGGAAUCACUGGGCUUACAGGGUGCGUAGGCGGCUAUUCAGGUCAGGUGUGAAAGCCCCCGGCUCAACCGGGGAACUGCGCUUGAAACCGAGUGGCUCGAGUCAGCUAGAGGUACACGGAACUUCCAGUGGAGCGGUGAAAUGUGUAGAGAUCAGGAGGAACACCGGUGGCGCAGGCGGCCCGCUGGACGGAGACUGACGCUGAGGCGCGAAAGCGUGGGGAGCAAACGGG